UCUUCAUCCUAUAUUCUCACAAUCAAUAAAUACAUGAUGAGACCUUGUAGCUCUCUCCCUCUCUCCCUCUCUCUCUCUCUCUCUCAAUGUUAUGUUGCUGAAUGCUGAUUCAUGGGAAGUUCAAUGCUCUCUUUUGUUUUCUUGGACAUGCUGAGAGGCAUGAAGACUGAGUUUACAAUAUACAUAGUGGUGAUGAGCAAUUGCUUAUCAAAUUGACAAGGUGGUGAUGGAGCUUUGUUGCUCAAAAUUUCAUUCACCAAGCUGCAAAUCUUACAGGGUUUAGGAGGAUGAUGAUGAUGACGACGACGAUGAAGAGGAAUAUGUUGGGCUUAGAAUACUGAUGAAGAGGAAUGUUUGGUUUAAAGAUGGUGAUGAAGAGGAACGUUGUGAAGGGGAAUACGUUGAAUUUAGUUGAGGGAGGUAGGUGUAUAAUAUUGUAGAGUUGUUUUUAUUUAGUGGGUGAAUGUUCCAUUAAAAAUUGUCCUUUAAUAUAAUUUUUUUUAAGAUAUAAUUAUAAUAAAAAAAGUAAAAAUUAGAGGAUCCACAAAAAUUAAUGUAUUAA